rnacentral:rRNA from 1 species
GCGGCGUGCUUAACACAUGCAAGUCGAACGAAGCGCUUGAACAGAUUUCUUCGGAUUGAAGUUUUUGCGACUGAGUGGCGGACGGGUGAGUAACGCGUGGGUAACCUGCCUCAUACAGGGGGAUAACAGUUAGAAAUGACUGCUAAUACCGCAUAAGCGCACGGUGCUGCAUGGCACAGUGUGAAAAACUCCGGUGGUAUGAGAUGGACCCGCGUCUGAUUAGCUAGUUGGUGGGGUAACGGCCUACCAAGGCGACGAUCAGUAGCCGGCCUGAGAGGGUGAACGGCCACAUUGGGACUGAGACACGGCCCAAACUCCUACGGGAGGCAGCAGUGGGGAAUAUUGCACAAUGGGGGAAACCCUGAUGCAGCGACGCCGCGUGAGCGAAGAAGUAUUUCGGUAUGUAAAGCUCUAUCAGCAGGGAAGAAAUAGGACGGUACCUGACUAAGAAGCACCGGCUAAAUACGUGCCAGCAGCCGCGGUAAUACGUAUGGUGCAAGCGUUAUCCGGAUUUACUGGGUGUAAAGGGAGCGUAGACGGUUGUGUAAGUCUGAUGUGAAAGCCCGGGGCUCAACCCCGGGACUGCAUUGGAAACUAUGUAACUAGAGUGUCGGAGAGGUAAGCGGAAUUCCUAGUGUAGCGGUGAAAUGCGUAGAUAUUAGGAGGAACACCAGUGGCGAA